AUUGAACGCUGGCGGCAUGCCUUACACAUGCAAGUCGAGCGAGCGGCGGACGGGUGAGUAAUGUAUGGGGAUCUGCCCGAUAGAGGGGGAUAACUACUCGAAACGGUGGCUAAUACCGCAUACUAUAGGAUGAACCGAUAUCGGAUUAGCUAUUUGGUGGGGUAAAGGCUUACAAAGGCAACGAUCGCUAGCUGGUUUGCGGGGAUGAUCAGCCACACUGGGACUGAGACACGGCCCAGAUUCCUACGGGAGGCAGCAGUGGGGAAUGUGGGACAAUGGGGGAAAGCCUGAUACAGCCAUGCCGCGUGUAUGAAGAAGGCCUUAGGGUUGUAAAGUACUUUCGGCUGUGAGGCGUUAUCCGCAUAAGAAGCACCGGCUAACUCCGUGCCAGCAGCCGCGGUAAUUC
rnacentral:rRNA from 1 species